GACGGAGGAUGCAAGCGUUAUCCGGAAUUAUUGGGCGUAAAGCGUACGCAGGUGGCCCGACAAGUCUUUUGUUAAAGCGUGAGGCUCAACCUCAUAAAGGCAAAAGAAACUGUAGAGCUAGAGUAUGGUAGGGGCAGGAGGAAUUCCCGGUGUAGCGGUGAAAUGCGUAGAUAUCGGGAAGAACACCAGCGGCGAAAGCGUCCUGCUAAGCCAAAACUGACACUCAUGUACGAAAGCUAGGGGAGCGAAUGGG
rnacentral:rRNA from 1 species